rnacentral:rRNA from 1 species
AACGAACGCUGGCGGCAGGCCUAACACAUGCAAGUCGAGCGAAGCCUUCGGGCUUAGCGGCGGACGAGUGAGUAACGCGUGGGAACGUGCCCUUUGGUACGGAAUAGCCCCGGGAAACUGGGAGUAAUACCGUAUGUGGUCGAGAGACGAAAGAUUUAUCGCCAAAGGAUCGGCCCGCGUUGGAUUAGGUAGUUGGUGGGGUAAUGGCCUACCAAGCCGACGAUCCAUAGCUGGUUUGAGAGGAUGAUCAGCCACACUGGGACUGAGACACGGCCCAGACUCCUACGGGAGGCAGCAGUGGGGAAUCUUAGACAAUGGGGGAAACCCUGAUCUAGCCAUGCCGCGUGAUCGAUGAAGGCCUUAGGGUUGUAAAGAUCUUUCAGCGGGGAAGAUAAUGACUGUACCCACAGAAGAAGCCCCGGCUAACUCCGUGCCAGCCGCCGCGGUAACAC